rnacentral:rRNA from 1 species
GAUCCUGGCUCAGGAUGAACGCUAGCUACAGGCUUAACACGUGCAAGUCGAGGGGCAGCAUUUUAGUUUGCUUGCAAACUAAAGAUGGCGACCGGCGCACGGGUGAGUAACACGUAUCCAACCUGCCGAUAACUCAGGGAUAGCCUUUCGAAAGAAAGAUUAAUACCUGAUGGCAUAGGAUUAUCGCAUGAUAAUCCUAUUAAAGAAUUUCGGUUAUCGAUGGGGAUGCGUUCCAUUAGG